GCGCGCAGGCGCGGCCCCGCCGUUCCCCACAGCGAGGUGCUUUCCGGGCCGGCGCCGGGCGAUCGCGGCGCUCCCGGGGCAGGGCGGUGGCCGGACCUUCCCGCCGCAGCCCCGCUGGCUCCAGCGCCGGGCUCGGCCCCUUCGCCCCCUCCUCGGCCGCGGCCAAGGGAAGGUGCGGGCGGGGAGCCCCCCCCGCCUUCGUGUUCCCCCCGCACUUUCCACACCGACACUAACCCGCUUCCCGCCCUUCCGCCGGGGCCCGCAGCCCCCGCCCGGGCCGUCGGCAGCAGCCCGCGGCGGCCCGGCGGGCGGAGGGGGCGCACGGCGGGUUGCGCCGCGUCGUCUCCGUGUGGCGAAUCUGCGGCUGGGAACGUCCGGGGAGGCCGCUGGCGCCUCGCGCCCGCCACGCGCCCGGCGGCCGUUUGGCGCCUUUUCUGCGCGCGGCGCCUCAGAGGGGAGCGCGGCCGCCGCCCUCAUCCCCGCGGGGAGGUGCAGCGGGACGGCGGCGACAGGGCGGGAGACGAGCGGGAACAGCUGGGCCCGGCGGAAACGGCCGCGAGGGCGGGCGGGCGCCGUGGUUGAGGCCGCGGGUGCUGUGGUGGUCGGGCCGGUCAGGAGCGGCCGCUGCUCCCGGGCCUCGGUAACUCAGGAGUGCGAUGAAGAGGGUGGCGAGCUGGUCUGGCGGCACUGAGGAACCGUUUUUGUGUGUAAAAUAGGCGCUGCAGCCCUAAAGCAAUGAUCUGGGAAUGACACCGCUUUGAAGAGCUGAGCAGCAACGGGAUUUAGCCCAAGGUUUGCUCUUGCUUAAGGUACUGUGAGGAAAACUGAGAAGAUUUUGGGUGUCGGUGGAGGAAGGCCUAGAGGAAGCAGGCCAGCCCGCAGAAUGGCGUGACCAUGAGCAUAAAGACUAAUCAUAUGGGCUGUGAGAAAGUUAUAAAUCUGCUUAGAUUUUAAUUUUGGGCUAAAUCUGAAUUGUAGAAGAUUGUAAAUUAGACUAGGCAGGGAGCUCUGAAAUAAUCCGGAACAAUUUCUCACAUAAAGAGGUGAAGGUAUCGUAUAUGGAGGUGAAAAGCUUGCAAAUGCAGAACACAGUACACCUCGCGGCUUGGUGUCUGAGGAAUGUGAGCAGCUUCAGACAUCAGUGUUCCGCAUAUGAUGGUUUUCUACAGUGUAAAUUGUUGAAGUGACUGAAUUCAAAAUAAAAAUGUAAAGUUGGGAGUCAGAAUACUGUCAUAUGCCUAAUAAGGUGAAAUUCUAGACACCUAUAAGGGAAGAGUUUGGUAGACCUGGUGAAUAUGGCAGCUGAAGCCAAACAGUGAAUGUUCCUGACAAGGUAAUAAGGAGAAACAUCUUUGGUUUUUGAAGAAGAAAAAAAAAAUGAAUAGGAUCCUGUGUUGCUGCAAGUUAGGCCCAUUUCUCGAUGCCUGCAGUUUGUGAAAACAAGUUUGUCUUUGUUCUUAAACACACCUCUAUGGACAAAGAGAGAAUAACUCUGCCCUCACCUGCUUACAGUGUGCUGUCUAUGGCCACAGUGGAAAUUUGUUGGAGAUCAAUAGAAUAAUCUGCAACUUCCAUUUGGUAAUUAAAAGAAUGUAAGAAUCCAAAGGUUCCUCAGAGAGUCAGCUAAAUCAGCCGCCUUUUAGUCCACCGGUUUCACAUCGGUAAAAGUUUGUGAAGAACAGAGUUACAAACAUCCGAUAGGAAGCUGCCCCCCGCUUGGAGUCCUGCUGCGCAGACAUGCGUGAGGCUGUUGGGCUGAAACCCUGCCUUUUCGCUGGAGAUGGCUGAGGGAGGCAGCAUUCCACUGAGAGCUCUCAGAAGAUGCGCUUGGUUUUGUUAAGAUACAAGUGCUGGGUGCAGGACAUGGUAUUUUGCCUUUUCCUUAUGCUCUUUGUUGUUGGCGUUUGUGUAGCUGCCUCUCUUGUGCCUGGUGUUUGUGUACCAGGGAGAGAAAGGGGCGACCAUGGUGCGUUGGAACCAGGGGAAAGUGUCACUCGGAGGCCUGUUCUUUAGCAGGAUCCUAAUGUAAAUCCUCCGAAUUGCAUGACUCACCACACUUUGCAUGAUAUUGGGUAAUACAAACUUCACGUGCAGAUGGAUAUCCAUUGCGUGAUGAGAUAUGAACUUCUGACAGAAUUUCACGCAUAUGGACUUGCUUCAUUGGUGGUCCAAGCAGUUAACAUGAUGCAAGCCUACAUCAACAUGCAGUGCUUUGAGUGAGGAUGCGGUAAUCUUAUGGUUAGCUGCAGUAUAAUGUGGAGAUACUCUGGGUUGCAAGAAUGUGGAGUCUUCUUUUCCUACCAAGUUUUUUUGCAAUUUAGGAAAGAGAAGGUCCUUAUUUUUUAUGACAGUUCCAUUAAUGUUUGUUUUGUUUACAUGACAUGUAAACCUGUAUCUUGCCUUUGUUAUGCAUUGUCCUUGAGAUUUGCUAGAUGAGUUUUGAUGACUGCAGGGAAUUCACUUUUUCAUAUCAUCUUGCAAAGGAUCAUUCUAAUAUAAAAGCAAGGUAGUGUAUAUGGAUCAAAGAAGAACUGCGAAGAUUAACUUGUGUAGGCGAUUGCAAUUACACAAUGUUCUUUUCUUAAAGAGUUAAAGCUAGAUAGUACGUUGUUGCAGCACAAAACAAUAUUUACAAGUUUUAACUAAUUUGCUUGUGCUUUUUUAUGCUUUUAUAAGUUCAUUGAAGUGACACUGAAAUACCACCAAUGAAUUAUGUCCAUUAUGUGUAAUUACGUGAAAGAUGCACAGAAGCAAAUGUUUAAUAAUAUAUUAGCCUAAACAUAUAUAUUUAUAUAUGUACAUAUAUAUUUAUUUUUAAACUUUUAUUUAUGAACAUAUAUACAGUGAAAAUACAGUGUUUUCAUUGCAAAUUGGUGAGUAUUAAAUGAUUUUCAGAGUUGCCGUGGUUGGAACCCAAAUUGUCUGUAGACAGUCUAAAAGCUAAAUUCAGUGAAACCAGUAACAUGCCUAAAUAUAAACAUAGAAAACAGAGAAAUGCUUCAGUCUUUAUAAGAUAUACAUUUUAGUGUCUUGGAGCUUGUUCCUGAAAUCAUUUAAUAUAUUAAUUUUUGAGCAUGUAUGUAUAUAUAUGUGUGAGUUUUUAAAUGAUUUUAUACUGUAAUAUGCAUGUAAUUUUUUAAUGAUUGGUUCAUGUAAUUACAACUGUGAUGAUUAUUUCAAUGAGGAGUUCUGAAAUGGAAGAUGAAUUUGAGUAUUCUUUCUCUACGCAACAAAUACCUGUUCUCUUCUUGCUCAAGCAGACUGCGAUACGUUGCUAUUUCCUCCUCCAGUUUCAUCCUAGUGUUCAGCAGAAUUUCGUGCUCUUGGAGCUGUUUCUCAAUACCUCUUCUCACUUCCUGUAGCUCUUUCUCUAAACUUGCAAUCUCAGCUUCUAAAUUUUGAAGUUGCGUAUGGUACUGCUGCUCUGUGGCACGCAGUGAACGUUCCAAACCCUUUUCCUGUUAAAUUUAACUCAUAUUUUAAGAUUUAGAAAGUAUGCGUAAAGAUGUUAUACAUACUUUUCAUUAAUAAUCAGACAGUGUAUUUUUAAACCAGUUCUUUUAAGACUAUUUUUAGCAACAGAAGUAAAGCUUUUAAGAAAACUUUUGCUGAGAAUUUUCCCUCUAAAAUGUGUAAUGAUUCAAGAUAGAAUAACAAAUUUUUAGCCAUUUGUUUUACCAGCAAUUCACUGGCACUGAUUUCACAGGUCACUGAUUUUACCUGUGUGGUUAAAAUAAUAGCCAGCUCAGUGUCAUACGAAAACUGAAUGGCCUGUGUACUCUUGUAUCCUAUGUAUAUUACCAAAUUCAAUAAAUUGCUGGCAUGUUC